GAACCUGAAAAGAAAGUUACAGUAAGUCACUGGCUCUGAGUUAUCCAUCCAUUGUACUGGGCAAAGAUUUGCAUCAUACUGAAGAAUUCCACCCUCUUUUCAAGAUCAAAGCAGAUUUACAGAGUCCAAACUCCCAUGUAACUAAUAUUCACUAGAAAGCACAUAUCUUCGUGUGGGGAUGUCUCUUCUUUCAUAAUAAGUAAGUUACCAACUCUUUUAGUCA